UCGGGAGGAAAUAUUCGGGAC
rnacentral:piRNA from 1 species